GUAGUGUCUGACCCACCUGGCUAUCCUGGAAGACAGUUCACCAAAAGCAGUGAGGGGCUUGCGGAUAAUGUGGAGUGAACCUGAUGAGGUCAAUCCAGUGGAAGGAGCAAGAACAGAACAGAAAGGCUACAUGCAUCAUUUGGGGCCUUUUUAUAAGAAUGCUUUAAUCCUAGCUUCUUCUGAUGGAAUAACCUUAGUGAGGUGUUCUGCUCGGCACGGAAUUCACCUCUUUUUACAUCGUAUACAUACAUAAGAGCAAAUCAUUAAAUAUAUCCUUGGGACACACAGACAACAAAGAGGCAGAAUUCGCUAGGUAAGAACCACCCUGCCUCAGUCUUAAACUCCAUCAUUCAUUAAUAACAGAAAAAUAAAUGAUGGGAGUAUUCUAUUAGCUGCACAGUCUGAAUCUGAUUGAUCCAUCCACCUGGUAGUCCUGGAGGGACCAGGAGUCUUGAUCCAACUAUUAGUUACAUUCUCCAUUGCAGACAAAUGAGAGAUUGGGAAUGGCUACCAGGCCCUAUAUUACCUUCCGAUGCCCAGCCAUUUAGGUCAGUGCAGUGAUUAAACGCAGGGCAACUGGAGUCAGACAGAACUUGGUUUAAAUCCUUGAGCAACUACCUGCUAGCUGUAUGUCUUCUAGAAAGCUAUUUAAGCUCUCAAAGUUUCAGUCUCCUCAAAGUCUGUUUAUAUCACAGAGACAUUAAUUAUAUCUACCUCUAGGGUAUUGUAAAUGAAGUAAUGCAUGGACAUAAUACCUGAAAAAUAGCAUUGCUCAACUAAAGACAUUUCUUCUCUGGAAACCUGAUUGGUAUCUUGUUAUCCAUUCAUUUGUUUUUAUGCUCAUAUAACAAUUUUUUUUUUUUUUUUUUUUUUUUUUUUUGAGACGGAGUCUUGCUCUGUCGCCCAGGCUGGGGUGUGGUGGCCGCAUCUCAGCUCACUGCAAGCUCUGCCUCCUGGGUUCACGCCAUUCUCCUGCCUCAGCCUCCCGAGUAGCUGGGACUACAGGUACCCGCCACCUCGCCCGGCUAGUUUUUUGUAUUUUUUAGUAGAGACGGGGUUUCACUGUGUUAGCCAGGAUGGUCUCGAUCUCCUGACCUCGUGAUCCGCCCGUCUCGGCCUCCCAAAGUGCUGAGAUUACAGGCUUGAGCCACCGCGCCCGGCCUAACAAAUAUUUUUGAGUCACAUACAAGUACCAUGUGAAGAGCAUGUAGCAGUAAAUAAAACAAGCCUUGUCGCUAUCUUCAUGGUACUCACAAUCACCAAGAUAUACAUGCAGAAAACAAGUAAAUAAAUAAAGUUUACAAUUAUAUAACUCUAAGUGCAUGAAGAAAAAAAUAAGGGUCAGUGAAGGAGAGUAGUGGAGAGACAUAUUUAGACAGGGUCGUGUGUUAAUUAGGACCCUGCAGGAAGAGAUGGCAGACUCAAACGUUGUAACUUAGAGAAAGACUGUUCAGUGAAAAAGUGUGUAGAGGAUUGAGGGAAACCAGGAAGAAAUAGCGAGGGUCCCUGGAGGGGAGCAAAAGAAAAGCUAGCAAUUGCUAAGAGUCUUUUCCAACCUCAAAGGAUGAGAGGAGGAAGCUGGGGUGGCAGAGAGCAUCCUCUUGACAGAAGCUUUCAGUAGAGGUACAGAGGCUACCAACAUGACUCUUCAGAGAGGGAGGCCAGGGGAUAAACACCCUGACUUCUCUCCAAACUCUGACUUUCUGCCCCUAAGAAGAAGCUGGUGUCCUGAAGAACUGUCAGUGCCUCUCUGAACACAGUACAGCGUGAAAAGUGGAUUUCAAGUGCAUUUAGAAAAUAUCCAACACAGGCAGUCAAGAAAGGUUCUUCUGGGAAGCAGACCUGUAAGUGAAGGACAGACACUGGGGAAGGAGUCAACCGAGAGAAGGCAGGGAAGAGCA
ensembl:lncRNA